rnacentral:lncRNA from 1 species
UGCCCCUCUCCGCGCCCCACGGGACGUUUUUACUCCCCCCGCACCCCACGCGCCCCGCCACGCCACGCACCGCGCCCGCUGGCCUUGAUGAAGUGGAUGGCGGUGUCGGCGCCGCCCUCGUCGGGGGAGUAGAUGUGGUGGCGGACGGUGAGGUUGCUGCCGUCCUGCAGCUCCUGGAAGACGCCCUCGAUGGUGAAGUAGUAGGGCCGGUCGUCGGUCUUGCGGUCCACGUAGAGCAGGGCGGCGCGGGAGCUCCAGUUGAAGUGGGCGUGCAGGUGGGAGACGAAGGCGCCCAGCUUGGGGGCCGAGGGCCCGGUGCGCACGGUGGUGCGGUAGUGCUCGCGCUUCUCGCUGAAGCCCACCGCCACCGCCCCGGCCGUGAUGAGGGGCAGCCGCCAGUGCGAGGCGAAGCGGCCCACCGAGGCGGCGGGGUAGACGCACCCCGGCCCGAAGAGCACGUCGGGGUCGUGGUACAGCUUCAGGUCCACGGCUUUGAGCGGCGCCACGUACUCGGAGCACGCGCCCCCCAGCUCCGAGCUCAUGAACUCGACGCGCACCGAGAAGGGCCGCGGCAGCAGCGGCGGCUCCCCACGCUGCAGCGCCUCCAGCGCCAGGCUCAGCGCCGGUUCCACGCGCGGCCAGGCCCACGCGUAGCUCACGUUGCGCUCCGGCAGCACCACGGCCACCGUCAGGUUGGCGACCGCCCCGUCGGGGGACGCCGCCGCCGCCGCCGCUGCUCGCCGCCCCCCGCCGCCGCCGCCGCCGCCGCCGCCGCCGCUGCCCCCCGCCGCCGCCAGCAGCGCCGCCAGCACCAGCGGCAGCCCCGGAGCCAUGGGCCCCGCCGGCUCCUCCGCCCGCGGAUCCUGCGCCCGCCGCCGCCGCCGCCGCCGCCUGCGCCUCCCCCGGGCGGGGCCGCCCCGGACCGGGCAGCGCCCCCCCGGACCGCCCCGUCCCGCCCCCGGAGCCGCCGCCGCCGCCACCGCCCGCCCCCACGGGGAGAGGGGAGAGGGAGGAGGGGGCGGCCCCGCCGUCGGGGAGGGGGCUGGAGCAGGGGGGGCU